rnacentral:rRNA from 1 species
GAUGAACGCUGGCGGUGUGCCUAAUACAUGCAAGUCGAGCGAACGGACGAGAAGCUCGUUCCCCUGCUGUUAGCGGCGGACGGGUGAGUAACACGUGGAUAACCUACUUAUAAGACUGGGAUAAUUUCGGGAAACAGGUGAUACUAACGGAUCAUACUUCCAACCGCAUGGUUCAAAAGAGAAAGACGGCCUUGCCGACUCUUAUAGAUGGUUCCGCGCUGCAUUAGCUAGUUGGUAAGGUAACGGCUUACCAAGGCAACGAUGCAUAGCCGACCUGAGAGGGUGAUCAGCCACACUGGAACUGAGACACGGUCCAGACUCCUACGGGAGGCAGCAGUGGGGAAUCUUCCACAAUGGGCGAAAGCCUGACGGAGCAACGCCGCGUGAGUGAUGAAGGUCUUCGGAUCGUAAAGCUCUGUUAUUAGGAAAGAACAUAUGUGUAAGUAACUGUGCACGUCUUGACGGUACCUAAUCAGAAAGCCACGGCUAACUUCGUG